GCUGAGAUGGCCUGAAGCACUGCAGUGAGGGGGGACGAGGUGGGUUGAAGUCUCUGGAAAAGAGCCCGAGACACCUGAUGUUUCUGCAUGUUUUCUCUUUGCUCCUUGUUCUUGUGCCCGGUGCUGGGUGCUCCCCUUGCCACAGGGGUCAUGGAGAGCCUGGUGUAGAAAUGGGACUGUGCCUCAUUGUGUUGCUGAGCAUUGUCUGUGGGUAACAGAAAGGACUCUCCUGCUUACUGCCCUAGGAGCCAGAGCAUCUGUGGCAUUUCUUUAGUCUUCAGUAAAGAUCUUCAGUGAGUUACCCACCAUGGGAGUCGGGAUAUCAGCAGCCUCCAAAGUCUGUAAAGAAAGAAAUAAAGUAACUGUUGGGCCAUCAGACUGGAUGUCAGUACCAGCCACAGGGAGAUGGAAUAAUGCUCCUUACUGUUGGAAGGAAGACUCACCUCCAUGCAGGCACAAGAAGAUGUUAAGCAAGGGAGAGUCAAAGUUAAAACUUGGCAAGAGCUAAAACAAAGAAUUUUUCCAAGGAAAUGGAGGAGACAGGUCAAAUUAAUUCCUUAUGUAACUCCAUUUACCUCAGUACAGUUACAGGAAGGAUGAAUUUGGUACCUUAUACCUCUGUGGUCAGAAGAAGAUUUCUGGGAUCUCAAUCAGCACAGUAUAAAAUAAUAAUUCUUAAGAAACAGAAUUGUAAUUUAAGUCUGGUAGAAGUGUCCUUGUUAUUUUUAGUCUAUUAAUAUGAUUGUAAAAGAACAAUAGGUCUGCAGAACAACAAAAAGAGGUCUUCAUAAAAAGAUUAGUACAUGAUGAUUUGUAGCUUACAUCCUUGGUAACAUUUUUUUGUGGGAAAGAGGAAUUCAUGACAGACUGCUAAAAUGGGCAGGGACAGCAGGGAGAGCUUCUCUUUCUUGUAAAUUCCAGAAGCUUUUCCCCAGUUUGCUGCAUUGCAAAUCCAACUUUUUCCCUCCAAUCUCAUCCUUCUCCUCUGAACACCCCUAAUUCAAAUUCUCCUUUCCCUCAAGAUUGAUCGGGCUCCACUGUGUGUGCAGGGGCCUCUGUGCCUUCUCUUUACUGAUGAGUUUUUUUUAGAUUUUUCUCCUCAGGCAGACAUAUUCAGCCCUUUGGGACAGAUAAAGGAGAGAUGUUUAACCUCCACCGUAAUUUCUUUUCAGAUUUUAAAUUUCAAUAUGUGUAAAUUUGAGAUGCUUUAAAAUAAUGCAAAUUCACUGUGAGAGCCCAGCCUUCAUAUGCCAAUCUGUACUAAGUGUAGCUAUACCCAGAGAUUAUUUCCAUUUUAAAACUUUAUUAUGAAACAUCAUCCUUGCCUCUCCAGCCCACUGCCAAAUUCAGGAAAUACUUUUAAUAUCAAUGUUAAGAUCUUUUAAUACAGUAACAUUAAAGCAUUCAUAUAGUGAUUAGUGCAAUGAAAUUUAAGUCAACAGUCUGUCUUUUUUAUCCUUACCAACUUGCUACUAUCAGUUUUAAUGCAGAGGAAAGUAUCUGUGUAUACAAGCAUAUAAAAGAUGUGAAAAUACAAAGGCAUUUAUUGAAAACAGACAAAACCAGGAAGAUGAUAAAAUAGCAGAAGGAAGUGGCCUCACAUAUAAAAACUUUUGCUUUGUAUAGCAGAAUUUAUCACUAAAAGCUCUGGCUGGCAGAUUGCCAUGCUUUGGACUAAACAAGGAAUGUAACAUUAAAAAAAAUUGACUUAGUGUACAAAACACAAUAGAAACAACAAUGUCCUACAAAGUUAUUAAAUUAAACAUUUUUUGUUUCCUUUUAAUGUGGAUCUUUAAAAGUGGUGUUAUAUUUUCAAAUAGCAGAAAUCUUAUUUGCACAGAUGCAGGCUCUCCUCUUAAGGAUGUCUGCAUUGAUCACUGUGCCAUUCAGCAGGAUAUAUGAAAUUCCCAAAUAUCCAAAUUAAACAAUGAUGGUGGAGCUAUAUUUUGAAAGCAAAUAAUUUUAUUUCAAAAUACUGGAACUAUUAAAGCAUAUUUUAUGAAAAGUUACUCACUUUACUUCGGUUUUAAUACACAAAGCUGCUUAAGAAAAUGUGGACUGCUCAGUGUUUUCACACUGGAUAAAGAAUAAGUUUUUUAAACAGACUGUGUUCUCCAUUUCUUUUUAUGUUUGUGGGGAAAAAAUGGAAAACAUUAGGGAAUAACAGUACAGUUAUGCCUGAAAGACUUUCACAUUGCAGUCUUUGAAAUCUGCUGUUGAUGGAGAACACUUCAAAAGCAAGAGAAUCUGGGAUAUUUAGUUCAGUUACUGUACCAGCUGAGAACAAAUGAAUUCUUUUCUGCAAGGAUGUUCUUCCCCCUGGCCUGCUAAGGCCUGUGUUCUGGUAUUCCUGCUGGAAGUGGCAUCCACCAGGACAUGGAUAAUGAGCACAGCUGAAUGCUCAUGACUAACGAAAUCCUGCCCCUGCUCUUUACUCUGAAAGGCUUUUCCAGAGCUCAGCAGUUAAGGAAGACUCCAAACCUGAAAAACAAGAUGGCAGAUAACUGCAAUUAAAACAAACAGAUAAUUUUUUCAAUGUCUUAAUCACAUUUGCAAGAUAAAUACACUGCCAAGUACUAGUUAUGUUCUUAAAUAUUGUCUCAUUCACAGUUAAAACCUUUUCAUCUUGUUGACAGGAGUGGUUAUCUCCUCCAUACAUGGAAUCAUUCCAUGAAGUAUUUUUGUGUUUCUUACAUUUGAAUCUCCAGUGUCCUGAGUGCUUCUGUGGAGUUUCCAUAUUUACUCUCUACAAAAUACAGUUGCCUGGUAGUUCUUUUUCUAGCUGCUGCUUUUUCCUGAAAUGGUUUGGAUUUACUGCAUAAUUUGUACAAAGCAUUCUCUUCUAUGAAUGUCAUUUUAAUUUUGUUUUAGUAAAGCUGGGAUGUUCUGACAUGAGUUAAAAAGAGAUAAAUUCUUCAUAUUCUUCAGCUAAAAUAAUGAAAUGCUGCCUUGAACCUAUUAAAAAUGAGAUGAUAUUAUUUUUAUUGGAUUAUGAAAUUGCAAGUAAUGACAGAUAAAUGCAGAUAAAUCAAUAUUCUUAGAAAUCUAAACUGCUAAUCAGUAGAAGAUGUUACUCCAGAAUACUGACCAUAGGCAACAGCAAUGAGUAAAGCAAUAUCUUUAUCACAAUGGACUUUUGGAAGGUCUGUACUAAUUCCGGAAUAACACAGCAGCAAAGAAAGGUGUGCUUUUACCAUGCUUAAUGCAGCACCUACAGCUACACACUUGGUGUGUGUUUCCAUUCUUUCUACUGCACUUUUAAUCAUUUAUGGAAAGCACUUAGGAGUAUAUCCUUGAUCUAAACAAGCAGAUAUUAAUGCAUGUGUAUGUUUAUAUUGAAGUGUUUAUAUAUAGUUACUACAUGCAGUCAGGAAAACUGCAAUUUCAUGUUUUAUGUUAACGAAAUGGUCUUUUAUCUCCAAAUCACAAUAUUUGAGGUGUGCUGGGAGCAUGAUGAGCAAAAGGCUCCCUGAAUGCUGCUGCAAAGCUGGUUGGACAUCCUACCUUGGUUUCAGUCCAGUUCUGAACAGAGGCCUGUCCACUCACAUUCAGUCACUUGGAUAACAGGAACUCUUUAAUUUCCUUACAGGGCCCCUUAGUAAAAGUUUAGACACAAACUCCACCUUUGAGUUUGGAGUCUGCCUCCAUUGUUAAAACAAUGCCUCCUCCCCUUCUGCUAACAAUCAACAAUUGUUUAACACUUCUGUAGCACUUCUUUACCAUGAUAACAACAGCAACUUUCUGAGAUGUCAUUUAACAUAUAUCCCUGAAUAAUUGAUCAAAAGUAGUGGAUAAAUAUUAAAAUUAUGUUUAACUGCAGCACAGACCCAGCAUAUCACAAAUGAACAUUGUGUAGCUGAGAAAGGAAAAAAUUAGAAUGUAGUACUCCAGGAAAUAGAAAAGUUACACUUCCUUAUCAUAAAAAGCUUUAAUAACCUUGUUAACAAUUACUUUGAGCAGUUCAUGUGAGAAUGUCUAAGAUUAAAAAGCAGUAGUGAGCUUAAAGCUGUGUAAAAAGUCUUAUCAAAAGCUGUUAUCAAUUUAAUCAUUCAAACAAAGUAGCAAAUGUUACCAUUUUAUAAACUGGAAUUCCAAAGAGAUUUCUCUAAGAAGACCAUCCAUAGGCUAUAACUUUAGACAUGAUGUAUUUUAUUAUUAUAAUAGUCAGAUGGCAAAUUCUGUCUCUUUUCUCAAGAUAAUACACUUAAAGAUGGCUGUUCUGUGAAGAGUACAGUAUUUGGAAUGUAUGCAAUAAAUUUCAAGAGCCUUCAGGAACAAGAUAUUGUCUCAGUUUGAAUGGCUGGGAAGAUUCACAUUGACUCUGCUGUGCAUAGGGCUGUACUUUUAACCCAGGCUAAAUUUAAUGACAUUCCCAUAAAUCACCAAGUCCAGGCAUUGUAGCUCAGCUCACACAGGCAGAUCCUCAGCUCCAGAGCUCUGAUUAAGUCAACAGGGCUAGACAUCAGUACUGAUCUUGUGUGAUUGGAUUACAGGAUUGGAGCUGUGAUUUCUCCUACUGAAACCACUCUAAGGUUUGUAUGUUAGGUUGAGAGGAGUCACCUGUGUAUCUCAUUAUCUUACCAUGGCUGGAAUAUCUGCUAGGAGGCAGAAGAGCCCUCCCAGGCAAAUCACCUGCUGAAUUUAACAAACACAUAUUUCUCAGGAAAUUUGGGCUGCUGUCCAGAUGAGUUGCUCUUACAGAAUUUUACAGUAUGAGAUGAACAAAGAGACUACCACAAAGUCAUAGGCCACCAAUUUAAAUCCGACCUCAAAGCAUUUCACAUCCUAAUAGGAAGAGAUUUGGAUAUGCAGAGUAGCAUGUCUAUUUCUGAGUUUAUUUGCAAAAGUAUUCAGAGUUCCUUAACAUUGCCCAUUGCAGGUAUCAUGCCCAAUUCUAUAAAUGUAUGUAAAACUACUGAUAAACCAUCUGAAAGUGAUGACAACAUGAGUAAUUAAGGCUGUAUCACACCACUGUCACAGUGAGUGGCUGGAACAUCAGGGACAAAGGUUACAGUUUCCUGUUUCAGGAUCUGCCAUACAAAUUCCAAAAGCCAUGAGGAACCUACAGUGAUGUGCAGGGAGCACUUUCUUAGCCAUGGAGGUCUAACCACAUGCCAAAACUUUACAGAACUUUAUUAGAUUUAUUAUAUUCGGUUUUUUCCUCUUUCCUUUUUUUCUGUUUAAAUGCUUGUUUUGAGGGACAAUAUAAUCUCAUAAUAACAAUAACAUUCUUCCUCAAAACUACUACUUGUGGCAGCAAGGGAUCCCCAGACCAAACAAAAACUAAGUUUUUUGAGUCUAGAAUCAAAAGGUCACCUGAUAGCAGCUUUCAGAAGAGAGAUCUCUGAAGGGUGAGUGGCUCCUGCUUAAAUGUUUUUUAAUGUUCAACAUUUAGCAGAGGAUACAUGUUUAUUCUGCUCCCUUAAUGGGAAUAUUUUAUUCAACGGAAACAAAAGCUCUGGAGUAUCUGUUAAUAUCAUGGUGAUUUUAGCUGUGCAGAGAAAUACCCAGCAAUGCUUGUCCUGGAUGAUGCCAGAGACUUGCUAUGGCCAUUACAUCUAUUUACCAUGGUCUGCUUUCCCCCUUAAAAUGAAGCUAUGCUGUAAGAUUGGAGCUAAUGAAACUAGCCUUGAGUUCACAUACAGGAUUUUCAAGGUCAAGUGCAAGCAUUGAGCCCUUUUAUCCUCACAGAGGUUUUAAAUUUGUUUGGUUUCUGUAAACACACAUCUCUCAAAUUGCACCUCUGGAAAAGCCAUUCCCUGACUUCACAUUGUCAGAAACACAAUCUCUUCAAGUACAAUUUAUACAGUGGAAAAUCGGAAUGAGAAGCUCCAAAACUACCUCUUGUCUUUUAAAAAAGAUUUUUAUUUCUGUUUUUAAAUAGCUUGACAAAACCCAUCCAUUGGUACUCUGAGUUCAAAUGUAAACAGUUACAAUACAUUACUGCUGUGUAUUGAUUUUGUACAUUAACCUAUCUGCAGUGACAAUCCGUAAGACAAGGCAAACUGAAAUGCACUGAACUAAGAUGUACUAACAAUGCCAUAAGUGAAAAUACUCCAAAGACUGAUGUGUAACUCCCUCCUGUGGUGUGAGUGAGCAGCUUCGUCCUCAACAGCUUCUGGCAGCUUGGGGAGCACUGCUGAUACUCCAAAGUCUCUGUUCAGGUUUCAAGUCUACUCUGGAAACUUCUCUCCCAAGUUAAAAGUGUCACAAUACAUUUUUAAAAUACAUACAAAGUUGUAAACAUCUUUCUCUGGAACAAAAAAAUAAAUGGUUUGUGCCAGCCUUCUCCACCUCCCACGUUGCUAUAAAAAAUAAUAAUUAAAAAAACAAUAGGGCCAAAGACCAAGGCCAUACACUAAAAUUGUUCUGCAGGGAUGUCAUCACAGUUUACAGGAAGUACUGAGUAUCAGCAUUGAAAAUUAGUCACCAUCAGAUAGCAGAACCCAUUUUCAAGAAAUGGUUUCACUCAACUUCAAGUGAUGAAUCAGGCACUGAAUAUUUGAUUUCCCUACUUUUAAGAACAAAAGCUUAAAUUACAUUUAGAUAUUAUGUUUGAUAAUAGCUAAAAUUGACUGCAAACAGAAAAUUAAACACUGAUGCUUUUGCAAGUUUGGGGUUUGACCACUUUUGCUGUCAGGUUUAUAACGAUCUUCCAUGAAGAAGGAAGGAAUUUCAAAACAGGCUAUACAUAUAUUGAGAUCACACAAAUAAAAUAGACCUUUUCAAGGCAGAUUUUCUUUGUGGAAGUCCCUCUGGUCAUUUUCUAAAAUGUUUUAGCUUUUACGUUUAUUUCACCAUUAACAAUGAAAUAACCAUCUUAGUCUGAAUCUUGUAUCACUACUUCCAAAAAUACUAAGAUAAUGGAGAUAUUGGGAUGCAGAAGAGGAUUACUUUCAAAGUACAAUAGGAUUUGCUCUUAGCAGUGCAGGCUGGUAAAGGAUAGCAUUAUUCUUGCACUUCUGAAUUUAUUAUUCUUGUUUUCACACUGUCAGGAGAUUGAUAUCUAUGACCUUGUAAUUUAAGUAUGACAGUUAAUCAUAAAUAUCAGUACUUUUAUAGGCAACAUUUGGUUUAUUUUAAAGUUCUAGCAAGUGCAGCUCUUCCUUGAGGAUUAGAGGCUCUGCAGUCUAAAAAGGGUUCUCCCCCCACUCCCAGGUACUGGCUGUGCCUCACAGAAACAAGUGGCAGAACACAUUCUGUGCACUCUUAGGGGGAAAAAAAGUUUUAAAAUACUAAUGUACUCUUUAAUGUACUCUUCAAUUUUUUGAAAAGUUACACUAAGUUCUAACCUUAAUGUAUUUUAUAAGCCCCAGAUUCUAGCUGCAAUUCUCAGCUGUCAGAGGUACCACAUACUCAAAUGAAAUAUUGGAUUUUAAUUGAAGCAGCUGUUUUGAAGAGAAAAAAAAGCAGAAAUGAGUCACGUUGACUACAUAUUGCUCUGUCAGUUCUACCACCUGUCAUACACCCUAAUGAGACUAUGGACUCUUACAUCUCUACAUGGUUUCUGUCAAUUUGUUGUGCAUAAUUAAUUACAGGACAAUGUUUCUGAGGUGGAACAAAAUAUCAGCAUAUGUUUAUGCUGAGAAAUUAUAGGGAGAGAAAUAUGUGCAUGACCAGGCCAUAAAAACAAAAGGAGCAACCUGACAAUAAGAUUAUGUAUUAGGAGAGUACAUACAGGCUUGCUUCUUCCAAAAAUUAAAUGUGUAUACCUAUAAGGGGCAAAGGUGGAGAGAAGGAGAAAGGAAGCAAACUUUGGCAAAGUUUAAGAAAGUGCUGUCUUUACAGUCCUAAUAAUAACUUCUAAAAAAGAGAGAAAUAAACCACAAACAAACAGCAAACCACCAAACAUCAAACAACAGCAAAACCAAACCCAACACUGAAAAAGCAAAAGGCUAAAAAAUGUCUACAGCUGGGACUGUCCCCUGUGCAGGAUGAUUCAGACACAAUAGCUGAGAUUGCACUGGCUAAAAACCACAGGGAGAAGUAACACCACCAUCUCUACUGCGUUUUGCACUGCAGGGUCAGAAAGUAAAUAAGCAUUUGCAAAAGCAUCCCAACAUCAUACUGUGGUAAAACACUUUUUAUCUUCAUGCAGAGCUCUGUGCACACAUUUAAAAGUAUAUUUUCUUUUCAUAGCAGUACACCACAUAGUACAUUUUCACUCAAAUGUAACUUGUAGGAAAUUCUCUUAAUAUUGAGUAUUUUCUUAUUUCUUUUCUAUGUAGUGCAGGAAGGAUCUGGACACUAAUCAAUGAAAUUUUAGAUAGCACAAGUUGUUUAGUAGAACCCUGACAUUUUGCUUAGAAAUAACCUCUUCCUAAAGAAGGAUGAGAGACAAAAAUACAGAAAUAUGAAGGCAACUCUUGGUUGAGUAUAAAGGUCCCUUACCCCUACUAAGAAUGUUAUUUUUCUGUACUGUAAUAAUCAUCUGAGACAGCCCUAACACAUUAACUCAGGAAAGUUUUCCACACUGGACAUAGUGAAGCCAUGAAACUCCACACAAACUGGUUCUUGGCCAAGACACCUUCCAUCUUUUGAGAUGAGUUAAUAUCAGAACAUCUGUAGGAAGAGAACAGUGGCCUAAACCACAUAGUGUUAGAUUUAUCUAUAGUUUCAAAGGAUGGAUGCCAUCCUUCAGGUUCCUUAUUCUCCCUCCAGACAGGAAAAGCCAUUUACACAUUGUCUCAGUCAGGGCAGGCAGUUCUGUUAGUGCAAGGACAGUGCUUUCAAUCCAUGGCCUCCCCAGGCUUAAAGUGCAGUCUGUUACAUGAGAUUUUAACAUACCAAACUAUGCUUUAUUUGAAUUUCAGAAGGAAUGUUCGAGUUAAAAUUACCUUUUAGGUUUUAAGCAAUAAAAUUCAAGGCAAGGUACAUAAACUAUCUUAAAAUGGAUUAAAUCCACUUAUUUAAGUAUUCUUUGUAUCUUAUGGUAAAUAUACAUAUAAUACACAACAAACAUCCAUCAUUUCACUUAGCUGUAUUGUAUUUAAAGUGAUCCUGUAAUAAGUGAUGAAAGGCCACACAUUCAAACAAGACUUUGCUUAAAACAGGACUGUAUUAGCUGGACUGUGAUAUGUAACACAAUUCAAUAUUCCAAGAUCUCCUCUUCCAUAGGCUUGUCAUCAAUAAGGAGAAAACCCUUGGCACUCUGCUGUACACACAUUUAAAUUCCAGUUUAUUGGUGGUGUCUCUCAUGUUUCAUGCCCUCCCCUCUGAAUUCACCAUGAGAAACUGUGGUUUUAUGCUUUUAGCUACUCCUCUUGCCUAUUAACCUGACAAUCUCACCUACAAGUUAUUGUGUAGAACUAUGGUUCCCAAAACAUGUAGUUCCCAAAUGACAUACAGCAGAGAAUGUUCCAGGCCAAACCAGUCAGCUGCACAAACAAGGUCUCAAGUAACAACUGCAGGUACAGCUGUGCCAAUUGAUCCUUUGUACAGAAGUCCAAGCACUGAAUUUAGGGUGCAGGACUGUGUUCAUGCACACCUUAAGGCUCACCAUACAGGGAGGGUAUGGCUGUACCUGGGGAGCUGCAUAGAGAUUUAACACGGAAUUGCACAACGUUGUCUUUAGCAAUCAAGCCAGCUUAAACAGGCUCCAACCCCUCCCAGCCUUCAUUCCUCUGCCCUCAGCUCUGCCAAGUGUUUUUUUGGGUCAAGAUACAGGCAGACAGCAGCUUAACACUGUAACUCCAAGCACAGACAUUUGGAGGAGUGGCUGUUUCUGGUGUUCUGGGAUGCCAGAUCCACAUCACGUCAGGAAUCUUGUGCCUCUGCAACACCAUGUGUUAACCUGUGUUAAUACCACUCACUGCAAGGCUGAUAAACUACAGCAGUGGAGAUGAGAGUGGAUGGCUUGACUGAGAGGGAACUGCUGCUGUCAGAAUAAUUACUUAUGAUACAUAAUCCAGUAUUAUUUUUGGGUUUUCAGUCACUCCAGGACAGGUAAUUGCACAGUCAAAAGUUAAGCAAUCAUUUAAAUGCACACCAGGGAAAAGUUAUUUUCUAAAUUAAAGAAGUGGCUUUUCAUCUCUUUUAGCAUCUGAAAGAAACAAUCAGCCAGUGGGGAUCAUGAAAACACAAUGUUAUCACUUAACAUAAAAAGUAAUAUAUCUUACUGAUAAUCAGCAUCUUAUCUUCAUAAUCAAAGACUUCUCUACACAUGUGUGCUAACAGUUCAAUAACCACCACACUGGAAACUACUGGCUUUCCAGCUAAGUUCAGUUCAAACUAAAUGCAACAUCACUUCCUCUCUUUCCAAGAUGAAGCAAGACCAGCUGGCAAAAAGGAUACCUAGUGUGUGAAUCACUGGCAUGGAUACUUAGUGUGUGAACCACUCUACUCCACUUUAAGUCCUCACUUUCAAGUCAGAGUCAAGGGGAAGCUGAAAAUGCAUCCUGACCCACAGCAAUACCUCCCUCUUUAUGUGAGCCUUUAGAGCACAUUAAGCUGAUCUACAGCAACGCCCCUGCUGAGAAUUCUGGAUGUGAAGUUCAAAGUUUGACCUACUGCAAAUGAGUUUCUCCACUGAAGUGCCAUCAGGAGCCUGUCCCUCAAAAUUCUAUUCACCAGUAGCUCUAUGGAUUCCAGCAUUCUUGCCCUGUUCUUUGGCAAUCCUCAUUAUCACAAGCCUAUCCCAAAGCCAAAGUCAACAGGCCCAGAAGCUAUUACUGUAUUUCAGCAAUAACAAUCACUCUUUCAAGGAAAAAAAUUGUUUUAGAAAGUUGUUUACAGUGUCUAUGGUAGCACAAUGAAGCUCACAAGGUAUCGUUAAAUUAGAGCAGUACCAUCCUUGGAAAGGAACACUGCUGAGAAUUAUGCUGUAUUGAACACCACCCUCCCAACAGCUUUCCAGUUCAAAGUUUUAAGGAUUGAUACAUCAGUUGCUGUUGGAUUCAGAGCAGGAAUUCAAUUCUACAACAAACAAGUUUCAUUGGAAAUGGGUAUAAAUAGUAGUAGCCAGAACACUCCACUAAUACAAACUCUAUAUAAAACAAAGAUCUGUGCUAAUCAAAUUGAGUUCUAGGUUAGUGUUAACAGCAGACCUGCAGAAGUCUCAGAGUCUGAAGAUUAUGAAGUUCUUUACACACAGAUGCAGCUA